rnacentral:lncRNA from 1 species
GAUUUGAUUUAAGGUUUGUUUAGGAUUUGAUUUAGGAUUUAGGAUUUUAUUAGGAUUUAAAAUUUAAUUAGUUUUGGCCUAAAGUUUGAAUGAAGUUCAAUAGGAUUUUAACUAGAAUUAAAUUAAGAUUGAAUUGAGAUGUAUUUGAGUGAUAUUUGUGAUCCUUCUAAUAUUUUUUUAAGAAUUCUUAUUAUUUGUUUGAAAUUU